GAUGAACGCUGGCGGCGUGCCUAAUACAUGCAAGUCGAGCGAACGGACGAGAAGCUUGCUUCUCUGAUGUUAGCGGCGGACGGGUGAGUAACACGUGGAUAACCUACCUAUAAGACUGGGAUAACUUCGGGACACCGUAGCUAAUACCGGAUAAUAUUUUGAACCGCAUGGUUCAAAAGUGAAAGACGGUCUUGCUGUCACUUAUAGAUGGAUCCGCGCUGCAUUAGCUAGUUGGUAAGGUAACGGCUUACCAAGGCAACGAUGCAUAGCCGACCUGAGAGGGUGAACGGCCAAAAGGGAACGGCGACAGGGUCAAGACUCAUACGGGAGGCAGCAGUAGGGAAUCUUCCGAAAUGGUCGAAAGCCUGACGGAGCAACGCCGCGGGAGUAAUGAAGGUCUUCGGAGCUUAAAACUCUGUUAGUAGGGAAGAACAAAUGGGUAAGUAACUAUGCACGGCUGGACGGUACCUAAUCAGAAAGCCACGGCUAACUACGUG
rnacentral:rRNA from 1 species